AGACUGGGAUAACUCCGGGAAACCGGGGCUAAUACCGGAUGNUUGUUUGAACCGCAUGGUUCAGACAUAAAAGGUGGCUUCGGCUACCACUUACAGAUGGACCCGCGGCGCAUUAGCUAGUUGGUGAGGUAACGGCUCACCAAGGCAACGAUGCGUAGCCGACCUGAGAGGGUGAUCGGCCACACUGGGACUGAGACACGGCCCAGACUCCUACGGGAGGCAGCAGUAGGGAAUCUUCCGCAAUGGACGAAAGUCUGACGGAGCAACGCCGCGUGAGUGAUGAAGGUUUUCGGAUCGUAAAGCUCUGUUGUUAGGGAAGAACAAGUGCCGUUCAAAUAGGGCGGCACCUUGACGGUACCUAACCAGAAAGCCACGGCUAACUACGUGCCAGCAGCCGCGGUAAUACGUAGGUGGCAAGCGUUGUCCGGAAUUAUUGGGCGUAAAGGGCUCGCAGGCGGUUUCUUAAGUCUGAUGUGAAAGCCCCCGGCUCAACCGGGGA
rnacentral:rRNA from 1 species